rnacentral:rRNA from 1 species
AUUGAACGCUGGCGGCAGGCUUAACACAUGCAAGUCGAACGAGUGGCGGACGGGUGAGUAAUGCUUGGGAAUCUAGCUUAUGGAGGGGGAUAACUACGGGGAACUGUAGCUAAUACCGCGUACCAUAGGAUGAGCCCAAGUGGGAUUAGGUAAUGGGUGAGGGAAAGGCUCACCAAGCCGACGAUCUCUAGCUGGUCUGAGAGGAUGACCAGCCAAACGGGGACUGAGACACGGCCCAUACUCCGCCGGGAGGCAGAAGUUGGGAAUAUGGCGCAAUGGGGGCAACCUGACGCAGCCACGCCGCGUGAAUGAAGAAGGCCUUCGGGUUGUAAAGUUCUUUCGGUAGCGAGGCGUUAACUACAGAAGAAGCACCGGCUAACUCCGUGCCAGCAGCCGCGGUAAUAC